GGCGAACGCUGGCGGCGUGCUUAACACAUGCAAGUCGAACGGAAGGGCCCCUUUGGGGGUACUCGAGUGGCGAACGGGUGAGUAACACGUGAGUAACCUGCCCUUGACUUCGGGAUAACUUCAGGAAACUGGGGCUAAUACCGGAUAGGAAUCCUUGCUGCAUGGUGGGGGUUGGAAAGCUUCGGCGGUUUUGGAUGGACUCGCGGCUUAUCAGCUUGUUGGUGGGGUAGUGGCUUACCAAGGCUUUGACGGGUAGCCGGCCUGAGAGGGCGACCGGCCACAUUGGGACUGAGAUACGGCCCAGACUCCUACGGGAGGCAGCAGUGGGGAAUAUUGCACAAUGGGCGGAAGCCUGAUGCAGCAACGCCGCGUGCGGGAUGACGGCCUUCGGGUUGUAAACCGCUUUCAGCAGGGGCGAAGCUUGUGGUGACGGUACCUGCAGAAGAAGCACCGGCUAACUACGUG
rnacentral:rRNA from 1 species